rnacentral:lncRNA from 1 species
AACUGAAAAACUGAUUCUUUAAUACUCUGUUUUUCCUUACAGAAUAGAGAUACAUGAGGAUACCACUGUCUCCAUUUCAGUUAAGAGGACAUGAAAAAAUAAAAGAUAUGGCCAUGGAAUGCAGUCACUUUUUAGAGAUGGAUGUAGCCCAACUGGACCAUAGAAUUGGGCACCAAAAGGAUAUUUGAACACACGCUUUGCUCAGGUCACUGUGAAGUUAGCUAUUCCUAAUUUUCAAGAAACAACACUUCAGAGAACUCCACCUUUACAGUUUUUUGAAUGGAAAUAAUUUCUUCCUUUAUGCCUCCCUUUGGAUGAUGUACUCAGAUGGAUCAUUACUUUACUGCAUUUAUAUGUAAUUGAAAUUAUACGUAUGUUCAAAUGGUAUUAAAAUCAGAAAGAACAGAUACUGUUUUCAGAAAGUUACUUACACUAGACAUUAAAACCAUUUUCAUCUUUUAGGCAUACACACUUCCUGUCUUCCUAAAAGUAUUUAAAUUAUGUUUUCAUAGGACAAAUCACCCAAUUGUGCUUCCAGUGAAACAGAAACACAUUUCUCUUUCAAAUACAUAAAUAAAAAUAAUCGAAAUGGCA